AAAAAAACGCACAGUGCACAACUGUGUUGGAUCAUCAUUAAUACAUCUUGUUAUAUAAAAAGCACAAGGAAUACACAGCAAGUAUACACUGAACUGCAGGAUUUGCCAUCACCAGCUAUGGAUGGUGGAUGUAAGUUUUAUUUCACUCUCUAGUUACAACUUGUGAUGUUAGCAACACACAUUAUUUGAUGAAGUGGGCCCAGCAGCCUUGAUACACAUCGGAUCCCAUGUCAUCCCUUCUGUACCACAAUGAACACCUGCAAUGCUACCAACCUGGGUUGAACUAGACCCUGCAACUGCAGCAGCAAUCAUUGUUUCUGCUGCUACCCUAUCCUUCUCAGCUACUGCUUUAAGCCUGUGCCUCUCAGCUCUAGAACCAAUAACCU
rnacentral:misc_RNA from 1 species